UACGUAGGGGGCAAGCGUUGUCCGGAAUCAUUGGGCGUAAAGAGCGCGUAGGCGGUCCGGUAAGUCAGCUGUGAAAGUCAGGGGCUCAACCCUUGAAAGCCGGUUGAUACUGUCGGGCUAGAGUCCGGAAGAGGCGAGUGGAAUUCCCGGUGUAGCGGUGAAAUGCGCAGAUAUCGGGAGGAACACCAAUGGCGAAGGCAGCUCGCUGGGACGGUACUGACGCUGAGGCGCGAAAGCUAGGGGAGCAAACAGG
rnacentral:rRNA from 1 species